rnacentral:rRNA from 1 species
UACGAAGGGGGCUAGCGUUGCUCGGAAUCACUGGGCGUAAAGCGCACGUAGGUGGGUCGUUAAGUCAGGGGUGAAAUCCUGGAGCUCAACUCCAGAACUGCCUUUGAUACUGAGAGCUUGAGUCCGGGAGAGGUGAGUGGAACUGCGAGUGUAGAGGUGAAAUUCGUAGAUAUUCGCAAGAACACCAGUGGCGAAGGCGGCUCACUGGCCCGGUACUGACGCUGAGGUGCGAAAGCGUGGGGAGCAAACAGG